rnacentral:lncRNA from 1 species
GGGGAGUGCGCUUUGCUUUCCCGGGGUCUGGGGCUAAUUCUUCCUCUCUUACCAUAAACUCAGCUCCUCGAGCUAAAUGCAUAAAAGGGAGCGAGAGAUUUGAACCACUAGAACAAGUAUAUUAUAUAUAGUAGGUUUAGAGAGACGAGUAAGAGGAAAAAAACAAUAAACACUACAGCUCUCUCCAGCUAAUAUAUUAGGCACCACGAGAAAAAUGUUUGCCAAGCAGUGUUCGGUGGGUUCAUUUGCUUUAUUUUUUUAUUUGGGACUGGGGUGGAGGGUGUUUUUGAGCUUUUUCUUUUUGAUGUGAUGGCUUGGGAUUUCUGGUUGUUGUAUUUUGAAGAUUUUCGGAUUUUUGCCUCUGAUUUUUGCCUUUUGCAAGUUUGUGGUGUUACGUAAAGCUUAGGAUCCGUCAUCGGUUGAUUCUUGUUUUGUGUGCGUUCUUUCUCUCCCUAUCUAAUCGCUCAAGCAUUUUAAAGAAGAUGUAUUAUUUCAAUACUGAUACUAUUGAAAGACGCUUACAUUUUUAAUCAUAUGUGACAAUCCCAACCCCCAUUUUCCCCCCUUUGGUGCAAUUUCCUUUUCCCCUUGGACUUUUACUGAAGAGAGGCUGUCCUGCACUGGAGAGAAAUGCUCCAAGAAUUUGUUUUGUUUUGGUUUGUUUCUUUCCAGGAUAGCAAGUGGUGGGUUUACUCUGUUAUUGUUGACUCUUAGGGAAUUUCUUGUUGCAAGAAACGUGUGUAUUUGGAUAUGUGUACGUGUGUGUUCUGCAGAAUUCUGUGAGCCAAAUACAUGUUUGUGUUUUGAUUUUCCUUUUUGGGUUAAUUCUUUGAUUUCUUUCUUUUUUU